CUGGAAACAUCAACAAAUCUACUCAAUACAAAUGGUGCUUGACAAAUGGUCUUCAGAGACAAAAACAAAAAGAGGGACUGGGGGAGAUAUGGUAUCAAGCUGCAAUAUGAUCACAAGCCAAUGCAUGUGCCCACUCCAGCACUUGACCGAGAUAAGGCAAGGUCAUGUUCGUUUCCAUUUUAUACUCAGUAUUGGGUGCUUUAGUUUCGAGAUAACCCUUGCAGAAUACAAAUUUCUCCCAAGUGUGACUGUGGAGCUGCUACGCAAACCGUCAAACAUAAUAUUUGAAGAUCGACUACUGACAGACUUCACUUGUGACCACUCCAUGCUGCUGGAAAGAUAGUAGAAUAUACCAUCAAUAUGGAUAUCCAGCUGCAGUUGUGUUCCCAUAUAUUUUUUGGUUUUAUAUCUUUAUUUAUGUGACCCACAUGUUUUAUGUGCAUACUUAAUGUGUGUGUAUUGUAGACUAUUUGUAUGUGAUGUACAAUGGUGUACACUAAAUAAA